rnacentral:rRNA from 1 species
UACGUAGGGGGCAAGCGUUGUCCGGAAUCAUUGGGCGUAAAGCGCGUGUAGGCGGUUCGGUAAGUCUGCUGUGAAAGUCCAGGGUUCAACCCUGGGAUGCCGGUGGAUACUGUCGGACUAGAGUACGGAAGAGGCGAGUGGAAUUCCCGGUGUAGCGGUGAAAUGCGCAGAUAUCGGGAGGAACACCAAUUGCGAAGGCAGCUCGCUGGGACGUUACUGACGCUGAGACGCGAAAGCGAGGGGAGCGAACGGG